GAUGAACGCUGGCGGCGUGCUUAACACAUGCAAGUCGAGCGAAGCACCUUGAAGUUUUCGGACUAAGGGGUGACUGAGCGGCGGACGGGUGAGUAACGCGUGGGUAACCUGCCUCAUACAGGGGGAUAACAGUUAGAAAUGGCUGCUAAUACCGCAUAAGCGCACAGCAUCGCAUGAUGCCGUGUGAAAAACUCCGGUAGGUACUGAGAUGGAACCCGCGUACUGAUUAGGUAGUU
rnacentral:rRNA from 1 species